GAGUUCCGGUCGUCACGCGACGCCUGAAUUGUUGAUGAUGGCGAAAUUGAAACGUGUGCGGCCCAAGAAAGCGCGGCAGCCGCGGUCUUACGUCAAUUUUGACCAUAAGAGUUGAUUCGUGCAGUGCUGGGCGACACGUAGUUUUGAAUAAAUAAAAGUUUAUCUGAA